AACGCAUAUUGCGCCCUUUGGCAUUCCGAAGGGCAUGCCUGUUCGAGCGUCAUUAUCACCCCUCAAGCCCCGGCUUGGUGUUGGGCUCCCGGUGGUCCUACCCGACCACCCGCCUCAAAGAUAGUGACGGCGUCCCAGAGGGAACCGGUACGAGGAGCUUUCACGAGCAUGUACGCGGGACGACUCUGCGGGCGACGGUCUUUUUUAACUCAAUAAAGUGUUGACCUCGGAUCAGGUAGGAAUACCCGCUGAACUUAA
rnacentral:misc_RNA from 1 species